GACGUAGGAUGCAAGCGUUGUUCGGAUUUAUUGGGCGUAAAGCGUACGUAGGCGGUUAUCUAAGUCUGGUGUUAAAGCUAGAGGCUCAACCUCUGUGUUGCACUGGAAACUGGGUGACUUGAGAACGGUAGGGGAAGGUGGAAUUCCGAGUGUAGCGGUGAAAUGCGUAGAUAUAGGAAGGAACACCAGUGGCGAAGGCGACCACCUGGACUGAUACUGACACUGAGGUGCGAAAGCGUGGGGAGCAAACAGG
rnacentral:rRNA from 1 species